UUUUUUUUUUUUUUUUUUCCUGCGGGUAAAUCAGAUUGAUUUUGAUUUGCAGCAGAUCAGUAGAAUGGAGAAUAUACCAGCCAACUAUUUGCUCUUAUCAUGUCAUAUGAAAAACUAUGACGUGAGGUGUCACUCGUAAAACUAAACCAAUCCAAAUUUCCAAUAAACAAACAUGCCAAUUUGAUACAAUCUCCAGUAAGUGAGAGAAAAGAACAAUAAAUAAAAGCAGAAGCACGUGCAAUAAUGUGGGUAGCUGAUUUUACUAGAUGAAACCCCUCCACCUAGAAAGGGUUUCUGAGCUAUUAGAAGGAUGAGAACCAGAAGUAGAAAUGCCAAUCUUCAACAUUUGUUCAUUUCUAUAGAAAUAACAGAUUAGUUACCUUAAGAAAGAGAUGGAUGACAUUAAAGAUGUGAUGACACAUAACUGAAAAUUAGCAUCUCAAUUGUCUGACAAUGUAAAUAAUCAUGCAUUUUUGAGAGCUGUUAUUGGUUUGUAUUCCUUUGCUAUACUUUUGCAUUUAAUCUAUGAAAGGUACGGUGGUGAUUUUAGUCUCAUAGUUACCAGGUGAAACAGCAUGAUGCUCUUUUUACAAACUGGUUGCUUGUAGAUUCUGUUCACAACAGUAACUAUAUAUUGCUCUUUUAGUUUUAGCAUUAUUCCAGUAAACAUCAAUGCCUUUCCACAUCCUUUCUCCUUGCUGACCGAUUCUUAUCUUAAUCAAAUAAUUGACUCACAUGUGUUUCAAACAAGUGAGUCCUUGACAGGCUAAUGCAAUUCAGAAAGCUGUGUUCUUACACUGCUGGGUCAGGCUGGUACUCUCUGAUUACCGAUCAUGGCCUUAUGUGAACUGAGAUGCAGUCUCAUAUUGUACAGGUCCUUUGCUGCAAAAUCUGUAUUUACAACAAGCAGCUUCUGGAAAAAAGGUAGGAACAGAUCUUGCCCUAGGAGCAGGUUUUCUCACAUUGGAACACAUUGCAGGUAAAAGUGUUCGUGGUGAAUGCCUCCACUGUCACCUGUGAAAUCUAUUCUGGAGACAAGUACAGGGAUAUAGAGCUGCCAGCAAAGCAUACUUCAUGAUAAAAUAUCAAUCUUUACUUUUCUUUCAGUAGGCCUUUUUGUAUUUCUAGUGGCUUUUUUUUUCUUCCUAACUUGUGAUUUUUUAUAUAUUAUUAAGGAUGUUAUUGCCUUAGGUUUUUACUGUGAAAGCUGUCUUAAAAUGAGAUUAUAACUUUGUGAAAAUAACUUUGUGAAAAAUUAAUUUAAUUCAGGACUUUACCUAAUUUCAAUAAUCAAGACAAGAUUUUAAUAUACUGUAAACUGUUAUUCUUUUCAACUUCUUAUACCUAAAUAAUUUCUGUGCAUUAUAGUUAGACUUAAUCCUUCUUUCUCAUUUGAGUUGAGAGACAACAAGAAUAUGUUCCAUAUGUCAUUCCUGUAAUGUUUCAGUUACAUAUCUGAAUGCUUUGGAAGUAUAAAUUGAACAUAAUUGAAUAAAUAGUAAAAGAUUACACAGUCAUUUUUUUUCCUAAUCUCAAUCUAACUUCCUCAAAGAACAGGGAAAACAGUUCAGCUCUUGAAGUGGCAAGCAUUUUUCUCUUUAAAUUCACGUGACCUUAAAAAGAAUUACUUGAAUUGCAUGGCUUUAUUCAAAUUAGGCUGGAGUAUUGGAAAAUCAUGAUUGUUAUCUGUUUUGGAAAAUAAAGAAUAUCAACCACAUUUUGGUGACUGUAGGAUUUUUUUCUGUUAAUCCAAAUAUGGAUGCUAAGGGUUUACAUAUGUACGUUGUUUAUCCCUACUAAGUUUUUACAAAUCUUUUGAAUAUGAUUAUAGUGUUAGUUACUCUUAGUCUAGAAAAUGAAUCAUUCUUCAUUUUAUUCAUUCUUAAUGGGCUUUUUGCAAUAAUUAGCUAGACUUUCUACAUACUUUGUGGAUUAUACUCUGACAGACAAAAGGCAAGCUAGUUGCAGUCAUUCAAGAGAGCUUCAUGUGUACCAAAAUCACAUAUGUUCAACGAGUUGUUUACUUCAAAUAUUACUAUAAAACCAAUGAAAGCAAAACUGCAUUCUCCUAUAACUAAUCUGUGUUCAAGAUGAUUUUGACUAUCAAGAAACUGAGAGAGCAAAAAUUACAAGAUUUUUUUCACAGCCUACAGGAACUUACAGCUUGUCUAAGAUAUGUGAGCUGAUACACAAACCACACUACAGCCUGAAGACAACGUGGCUGCAAUUGUGGAGCUUUGUAUUCAGUUUUCCAGAAAGAAGAAACACAAAAGCAAAUAAAAAUAUGAAGUACAUUUGAUUUUUAGACCUGUAAAUGUCAAUAGAUA